ensembl:vault_RNA Vault Vault RNA
GGGCCGGCUAUAGCCCAGCGGUUCCUUCGGCUGUGCGUGAUAGCUUUUGAUCCCCUGCCUCGGUGGGGGUUCGAGUCCCGCGGGCACCCCUGGCCUACUC